CUUGCCCCUUUAAGCAUUGCAGGUGUGGUUGUUGUGUCAUAUGUAUGUCAGCAGGUGGCAGAGAGAACAGAGACUAUGACUACAUUUAGUGUUCUCAUCAG
ensembl:snoRNA LOC120102072 small nucleolar RNA SNORA17